rnacentral:rRNA from 1 species
GAGUUUGAUCGUGGCUCAGAUUGAACGCUGGCGGCAUGCCUUACACAUGCAAGUCGAACGGCAGCACGGGAGCUUGCUCCUGGUGGCGAGUGGCGAACGGGUGAGUAAUGCAUCGGAACGUAUCCUGGAGUGGGGGAUAACGUGGCGAAAGUUACGCUAAUACCGCAUAUUCUGUGAGCAGGAAAGCGGGGGACCUUCGGGCCUCGCGCUCUUGGAGCGGCCGAUGUCGGAUUAGCUAGUUGGUGAGGUAAAGGCUCACCAAGGCGACGAUCCGUAGCAGGUCUGAGAGGAUGAUCUGCCACACUGGAACUGAGACACGGUCCAGACUCCUACGGGAGGCAGCAGUGGGGAAUUUUGGACAAUGGGGGCAACCCUGAUCCAGCCAUGCCGCGUGAGUGAAGAAGGCCU